GGUCAAGUUACAAAGGGCGCAUGGUGGAUGCCUUGGUACCAGGAGCCGAAGAAGGACGUGAUAAGCUGCGAUAAGCUGUGGGUAGCCGCACAUAGGCCGAGAACCACAGAUUUCCGAAUGGGGGAACCCACAUGACAGAAAGUCAUGUAUCCUGUACUGAAUACAUAGGUGCAGGAGGGAAGACCCGGGGAACUGAAACAUCUAAGUACCCGGAGGAAGAGAAAGAAAAAUCGAUUCUCUGAGUAGCGGCGAGCGAAAAGGGAAGAGCCCAAACCAGAAGCUUGCUUCUGGGGUUGAGGAUAGAUCAAAAACGCUGUAAGAGCUUAGUUGAAUACAGCUGGAAAGCUGAUCCGUAGAAGGUAAAAGACCUGUAAGCGAAAAGUUCAAGCAGAAAGAUCUAAUCCAGAGUACCACGAGACACGAGAAACCUUGUGGGAAGCAGGGAGGACCACCUCCCAAGGCUAAAUACUACCUGGUGACCGAUAGAGAAGAAGUACCGUGAGGGAAAGGUGAAAAGAACCCCGGGAGGGGAGUGAAAGAGAACCUGAAACCGUGUGCCUACAAUCGGUCGGAGCACUAUAAAAGUGUGACGGCGUGCUUUUUGUAGAACGAGCCAACGAGUUACGAUGUGCAGCGAGGUUAAGCACCUAAGGUGUGGAGCCGCAGGGAAACCGAGUCUGAAGAGGGCGAUAAGUUGUAUGUCGUAGACCCGAAACCGGGUGACCUAUCCAUGGUCAGGAUGAAGCGAAAGUAAAAUUUCGUGGAGGUCCGAACCACGUUGCUGUUGAAAAAGCAUGGGAUGAACUGUGGAUAGCGGAGAAAUUCCAAUCGAACUCGGAGAUAGCUGGUUCUCCUCGAAAUAGCUUUAGGGCUAGCGUCAAGAGUGAGUCACGGAGGUAGAGCACUGAAUGGGCUAGGGGGCGUCACAGCUUACCGAACUCUAUCAAACUCCGAAUGCCGUAGACUUGAAUCUUGGCAGUCAGACUGCGAAUGAUAAGAUCCGUAGUCAAAAGGGAAAGAGCCCAGACCAUCAGCUAAGGUCCCAAAGUGUAAGUUAAGUGGAAAAGGAUGUGAGAUUUCUAAGACAACUAGGAUGUUGGCUUAGAAGCAGCCAUACAUUUAAAGAGUGCGUAAUAGCUCACUAGUCAAGAGAUCUCGCGCCGAAAAUGUCCGGGGCUAAAACUUACCACCGAAGCUAUGGAUUCAUACGGAAGUAUGAGUGGUAGAGGAGCAUCCUGCACAGGCAGAAGCCGUACCGAAAGGAGCGGUGGACAGUGCAGGAGAGAGAAUGUUGGCAUGAGUAGCGAGAAGUGGGUGAGAAUCCCACUGGCCGAAAACCUAAGGUUUCCUGAGGAAGGCUCGUCCGCUCAGGGUAAGUCGGGACCUAAGCCGAGGCCGAAAGGCGUAGGUGAUGGACAAUCGGUUGAAAUUCCGAUACCACCGAGCACCGCUUGAGAGAAGGGGUGACGCAGAAGGAUAAGAUGAGCACACGGCUGGAAGAGUGUGUUCAAGCAUUUAGGGUGACUAGAUAGGCAAAUCCGUUUAGUCAAGAGCCUGAGAUGUGAUGAGGAGCUCAAAAGAGCGAAGCAUCUGAUUCCAAGCUGCCGAGAAAAGCCUCUAUCGAGGUGUGAGGUGCCCGUACCGCAAACCGACACAGGUAGGUGAGGAGAGAAUCCUAAGGCCGGCGGAAGAAUUGCUGUUAAGGAACUAGGCAAAUUGACCCCGUAACUUAGGGAGAAGGGGUGCCUGCGAGAGCAGGUCGCAGAGAAUAGGCCCAGGCAACUGUUUACCAAAAACACAGGUCUCUGCUAAAGCGCAAGCUGAAGUAUAGGGGCUGACGCCUGCCCGGUGCUGGAAGGUUAAGGGGACUGCUAAGCGCAAGCGAAGGCAAGAACUUAAGCCCCAGUAAACGGCGGCCGUAACUAUAACGGUCCUAAGGUAGCGAAAUUCCUUGUCGGGUAAGUUCCGACCCGCACGAAUGGCGUAAUGAUCUGGGCACUGUCUCAACAGCAAAUCCGGUGAAAUUGUAGUGCAAGUGAAGAUGCUUGCUACCCGCGGUUGGACGGAAAGACCCCGUAGAGCUUUACUGUAGCUUAGCAUUGAAUCUCGGUAUUGUCUGUACAGGAUAGGUGGGAGACAGAGAAGCAUGCGCGUCAGCGUGUGUGGAGUCGACGUUGGGAUACCACCCUGGCAGUACUGGGGUUCUAACGGAGUACCAUGAAGCUGGUACCCGGACAUUGUUAGGUGGGCAGUUUGACUGGGGCGGUCGCCUCCAAAAAAGUAACGGAGGCGCCCAAAGGUUCCCUCAGCGCGGUUGGAAAUCGCGCGAAGAGUGCAAAGGCAGAAGGGAGCCUGACUGCGACACAAACAAGUGGAGCAGGGACGAAAGUCGGGCUUAGUGAUCCGGUGGUACCUCGUGGGAGGGCCAUCGCUCAACGGAUAAAAGCUACCUCGGGGAUAACAGGCUGAUCUCCCCCAAGAGUCCACAUCGACGGGGAGGUUUGGCACCUCGAUGUCGGCUCGUCGCAUCCUGGGGCUGAAGUAGGUCCCAAGGGUUGGGCUGUUCGCCCAUUAAAGCGGCACGCGAGCUGGGUUCAGAACGUCGUGAGACAGUUCGGUCCCUAUCCGCCGCGGGCGUAGGAAAUUUGAGAGGAGCUGUCCUUAGUACGAGAGGACCGGGAUGGACUGACCUCUAGUGCACCAGUUGUUCCGCCAGGAGCACAGCUGGGUAGCUAAGUCGGGAAGGGAUAAACGCUGAAAGCAUCUAAGCGUGAAGCCUCCCUCAAGAUAAGAUUUCCCAUGACGAAAGU
rfam:Clostridium tepidiprofundi DSM 19306 CLTE_contig000096, whole genome shotgun sequence.